UAUACCAAUUAUGUUGCUUUUUAUUUUACAGAACAAAAUCAAACAGAUACGUAUAAAGGAACUUGUAACUGAAGUGGAAAAACAAAUAAGAAGUGGCUUGCCCUACGAUGACAACAUCUCAAAACAAAAUGGAUUUUGGCCACAACAUACAGUAUAACCAGCUCCCCAACUACAGAGUUAUGUCUUGAAGAUGAUGGUGUGCAGGAAGACAUGUCUGCUGAAACUGAAAACACAGAUGUAUACUUCAUCUUCUUU